GACGAACGCUGGCGGCGUGCUUAACACAUGCAAGUCGAACGGAAAGGCCCUGCUUUUGUGGGGUGCUCGAGUGGCGAACGGGUGAGUAACACGUGAGUAACCUGCCCUUGACUUUGGGAUAACUUCAGGAAACUGGGGCUAAUACCGGAUAGGAGCUCCUGCUGCAUGGUGGGGGUUGGAAAGUUUCGGCGGUUGGGGAUGGACUCGCGGCUUAUCAGCUUGUUGGUGGGGUAGUGGCUUACCAAGGCUUUGACGGGUAGCCGGCCUGAGAGGGUGACCGGCCACAUUGGGCCUGAGGUACGGCCCAGACUCCUACGGGAGGCAGCAGUGGGGAAUAUUGCACAAUGGGCGGAAGCCUGAUGCAGCAACGCCGCGUGCGUGAUGACGGCCUUCGGGUUGUAAACCGCUUUCGCCUGUGACGAAGCGUGAGUGACGGUAAUGGGUAAAGAAGCACCGGCUAACUACGUG
rnacentral:rRNA from 1 species